CUCUGCUAAAAAAUGGAUUCUUGAUUCAUGCCAUAUUGCCUUGCAAUCAGAGGAAGCAUUUAACCAGGACUAUCCUGACUUUAAAGAAAUGUAGCUUCCAGAAGGACAUCCUUCAUGUUGUAUUCUAAAUUAGAGCUUUUACUUUCCUAGAACAAAUAGUUUUAGGUGUGGUUACUGUUACUUCAUCCCUGAAGCGUUUCCAAGAGAAACAAGGGAUUGUCCACAAGAUAAUCACCGCUGUGUCUGACUCCUCUGUGUGUAGUAUGGUGUGUCACUAAGAGAGAGGUAUUAUCUACAUGCAGCCUGUGAACAAAAAUCAAGAAUACCCGCUGGGGAUAAAACUUUAUGUGCAAAUUGUUCUGCAAAUGGAUGGUUUCUCCGGAAAGAGUUCCUUGCUGCCAGGUGCAAAUCCACACUAUGAAAAUGGAUGUUAUGAAAGUGUCAGCUUUGAGGUGGGGACAGUCCCACAGCAUGGGCUGUCAUCUGGCAGGGGCUUCAAUCUCCAAGAAAUACCGAGGAUCUCACACAAGCUCACACAGGAGCCACCAGGACCAGCUUUCAGUCACCAAGAAGAGGAAAGUACCUCUGGAGACAUUCAGAAGAUGGAGCUAUCACCCGAAGAGGUUUCAAAAAGGCAGGCCGGGUUGUAG
rnacentral:lncRNA from 1 species